CAGCCGCCGCGGUAAUACGUAGGGUGCAAGCGUUAAUCGGAAUUACUGGGCGUAAAGCGUGCGCAGGCGGUGUUGUAAGACUGAUGUGAAAUCCCCGGGCUCAACCUGGGAACUGCAUUGGUGACUGCAGCGCUGGAGUGCGGCAGAGGGGGAUGGAAUUCCGCGUGUAGCAGUGAAAUGCGUAGAUAUGCGGAGGAACACCGAUGGCGAAGGCAAUCCCCUGGGCCUGCACUGACGCUCAUGCACGAAAGCGUGGGGAGCAAACAGGAUUAGAUACCACAGUAGUCCCUGUCUCUUAUAA
rnacentral:rRNA from 1 species